AGCGGCGGACGGGUGAGUAACGCGUGGGUAACCUGCCUCAUAUAGGGGGAUAACAGUUGGAAACGGCUGCUAAUACCGCAUAAGCGCACAGUACCGCAUGGUACCGUGUGAAAAACUCCGGUGGUAUGAGAUGGACCCGCGUCUGAUUAGCUAGUUGGUGGGGUAACGGCCUACCAAGGCGACGAUCAGUAGCCGACCUGAGAGGGUGACCGGCCACAUUGGGACUGAGACACGGCCCAA
rnacentral:rRNA from 1 species